rnacentral:rRNA from 1 species
GACGAACGCUGGCGGCGUGCUUAACACAUGCAAGUCGAACGGAAAGGCCCUGCUUUUGUGGGGUGCUCGAGUGGCGAACGGGUGAGUAACACGUGAGUAACCUGCCCUUGACUUUGGGAUAACUUCAGGAAACUGGGGCUACUACCGGAUAGGAGCUCCUGCUGCAUGGUGGGGGUUGGAAAGUCUCGGCGGUUGGGGAUGGACUCGCGGCUUAUCAGCUUGUUGGUGGGGUAGUGGCUUACCAAGGCUUUGACGGGUAGCCGGCCUGAGAGGGUGACCGGCCACAUUGGGACUGAGAUACGGCCCAGACUGCUACGGGAGGCAGCAGGGGGGAAUAUUGCACAAUGGGCGGAAGCCUGAUGCAGCAACGCCGCGUGCGGGAUGACGGCCUUCGGGUUGUAAACCGCUUUCGCCUGUGACGAAGCGUGAGUGACGGUAAUGGGUAAAGAAGCACCGGCUAACUACGUG